AGUUUAGCUAAUGUUGCCCGUACCGUAAACCGACACAGGUGGGUGGGAUGAGUAUUCUAAGGCGCGUGGAAGAACUCUCUUUAAGGAACUCUGCAAAAUAGCACCGUAUCUUCGGUAUAAGGUGUGGUUCGCUUUGUAUUAGAAUUUACUUCGAAAGCAAAGAAACUUACAACAAAGAGUCCCUCCCGACUGUUUACCAAAAACACAGCACUCUGCUAACUCGUAAGAGGAUGUAUAGGGUGUGACGCCUGCCCGGUGCUCGAAGGUUAAUUGAUGGGGUUAGCAUUAGCGAAGCUCUUGAUCGAAGCCCGAGUAAACGGCGGCCGUAACUAUAACGGUCCUAAGGUAGCGAAAUUCCUUGUCGGUUAAAUACCGACCUGCAUGAAUGGCGUAACGAGAUGGGAGCUGUCUCAAAGAGGGAUCCAGUGAAAUUGUAGUGGAGGUGAAAAUUCCUCCUACCCGCGGCAAGACGGAAAGACCCCGUGGACCUUUACUACAGCUUGACACUGCUAUUUGGAUAAGAAUGUGCAGGAUAGGUGGGAGGCUUUGAGUAAUAGACGCCAGUUUAUUAUGAGCCAUUGUUGAGAUACCACUCUUUCUUAUUUGGGUAGCUAACCAGCUUGAGUUAUCCUCAAGUGGGACAAUGUCUGGUGGGUAGUUUGACUGGGGCGGUCGCCUCCCAAAUAAUAACGGAGGCUUACAAAGGUUGGCUCAGAACGGUUGGAAAUCGUUCGUAGAGUAUAAAGGUAUAAGCCAGCUUAACUGCAAGACAUACAAGUCAAGCAGAGACGAAAGUCGGUCUUAGUGAUCCGGUGGUUCUGUGUGGAAGGGCCAUCGCUCAAAGGAUAAAAGGUACCCCGGGGAUAACAGGCUGAUCUCCCCCAAGAGCUCACAUCGACGGGGAGGUUUGGCACCUCGAUGUCGGCUCAUCGCAUCCUGGGGCUGGAGCAGGUCCCAAGGGUAUGGCUGUUCGCCAUUUAAAGCGGUACGCGAGCUGGGUUCAGAACGUCGUGAGACAGUUCGGUCCCUAUCUGCCGUGGGCGUAAGAAGAUUGAAGAGAUUUGACCCUAGUACGAGAGGACCGGGUUGAACAAACCACUGGUGUAGCUGUUGUUCUGCCAAGAGCAUCGCAGCGUAGCUAAGUUUGGAACGGAUAAACGCUGAAAGCAUCUAAGCGUGAAGCCAACUCUAAGAUGAAUCUUCUCUAAGCUCUCUAGAAGACUACUAGUUUGAUAGGCUGGGUGUGUAAUGGAUGAAAGUCCUUUAGCUGACCAGUACUAAUAGAGCGUUUGGCUUAUCUUUUUUAUAAGCAU
rnacentral:rRNA from 1 species